rnacentral:rRNA from 1 species
AAUCAACGCUGGCGGCGUGCCUAACACAUGCAAGUCGAACGCGAAAGGGACUUCGGUCCUGAGUAGAGUGGCGAACGGGUGAGUAACGCGUGGGUGACCUACCCUCGAGUGGGGGAUAACGUUCCGAAAGGGACGCUAAUACCGCAUGACAUUCCGGGUUCGAAGACCUGGAAAUCAAAGCCGGGGACCGCAAGGCCUGG